rnacentral:rRNA from 1 species
CUGCGCAGCUUACACAUGCAGUCGAACGGUCUCUUCGGAGAUAGUGGCGGACGGGUGAGUAACGCGUGAGAAUCUAGCUUCAGGUCGGGGACAACCACUGGAAACGGUGGCUAAUACCGGAUGUGCCGAAAGGUGAAAGAUUUAUUGCCUGAAGAUGAGCUCGCGUCUGAUUAGCUAGUUGGUGUGGUAAGAGCGCACCAAGGCGACGAUCAGUAGCUGGUCUGAGAGGAUGAUCAGCCACACUGGGACUGAGACACGGCCCAGACUCCUACGGGAGGCAGCAGUGGGGAAUUUUCCGCAAUGGGCGAAAGCCUGACGGAGCAAUACCGCGUGAGGGAGGAAGGCUCUUGGGUUGUAAACCUCUUUUCUCAGGGAAUAAAAAAAUGAAGGUACCUGAGGAAUAAGCAUCGGCUAACUCCGUGCCAGCAGCCGCGGUAAUACGGAGGAUGCAAGCGUUAUCCGGAAUGAUUGGGCGUAAAGCGUCCGCAGGUGGCACUGUAAGUCUGCUGUUAAAGAGCAAGGCUCAACCUUGUAAAGGCAGUGGAAACUACAGAGCUAGAGUACGUUCGGGGCAGAGGGAAUUCCUGGUGUAGCGGUGAAAUGCGUAGAAAUA